UGUGGCUGUCACUGUGACGCGUGCGUGCUGUGCGUGUUAGAUGCCAGUGUGUGCAUGCAGGAGUGGCGUCCACCACAUUUCGUCAUCUGUUGAUGCUCGUUAAAGAAAGCUGGGAGGUUACGUUCGGAACCAGCGGUCAGCGAUCGGUGUGCACCAAAAGGUCUUAUGUUUUUCUCCUUUGGCUGAGUUUCGUUCGUUCAGACUGUACUGGUUUCGUUGGAUUUGUUUUGUUUAUUUGUUGGUUGAAGUUUCGUCAAUGUGUUAGUUAAUGUGGGUUGUGCAGCAAAUGGCAGUGGUGAAAUCAAUGUGGCUAAAACAUGGCUGAGGAGCUACUGGUUACAUUAAACCGGAGCGACACGUCUGGAUUUGGUUUUUCGUUGCUCGGGUCAGCCGGUCUUCCACACAUCGUUUAUGACAUCGUUGAGAAUUCGCCGGCGGCUGAAAGCGGCAAGGUUGAAGCUGGUGAUGUUAUUCUCAGGGUGAAUGAAGUUGACGUAAACAGAUUCAGUACAAAAGAAGAUCCUGCCAUAAAAGCCCGAGUUCGCCGGCUUCUCUCACCCGGGCAUCCAGCCUGCGAGGAGUUCGACGCAUCCCGGACCACCUCUGACACAAAUUCUCAGGAAAAGUCUUCCAGCAACCACGAAGGCAAGGACCACCGUAAACCAGGAACACCGGAACUAGCAGUGAGCCAGCCGCAGGCGCCUCACGGCCCAUAUUAUGCAACUCGCACAAACGGGUCAUACAGUGAUGCCUCGUGUUCCUCGGAGCUCGAAGCUCUUCUUCCACAGGUUGAUAGCUUCAAAGAGGAGGAACGUGCCCAGUGGGAGCCACUAUCCGCUGAUAAAUUCAAUCGCCAGAAAAAUCCCCCCAGGUUUGAGGCCUACAUGAUGACUGGCGAUUUGAUGUUGAACCUAUCGAGGACGCAGCAAAGUACCGGACUCCUUCCGAAAUAUCAGAAAAAAGUGGAUUCUUUGAGGUACAACAAUCACCACAUACACCAUCAUCACAAUCACCAUAAUCACCAACAUCAUAACUCGGUACCUACGAGUCCCAACGAAAUGCUGAGCCACCGAAUGCACAGGGGUGGGGCUGGCUCAAAUUCUGCCAGCACCUCGCCCGUCGGUAUUAACAUCAGGCGCGAGUGCGGACAAGGUGCCGGUAGCGAUAGCAAAUCCAACUCGAACUUCGGCUACUCUAGCAGCUUCGUGCGGACAUCCAGGUCCGAGGAUCACCUGCAAUUCCAGAAGGAUCCGUCAAUGAGCGCCGUGGACAUUGACAUUGACGACGAUGUUACGUCAAGUCUUAACACGCUCCUAGACACCCGACCUGACAGUGGUCAAGGGAUAUCGAGCGAACGAAUCGUCUGGACUUACAACGCACCUGUUAGUUCACCUUCCGCCUCUGAGCGGACUUCCUGCUGCCAAAAUGGUAGCUCUUCACAGUCUUCGAGUAGCUCUCGUUCCUCGACUGAAGGAACCAGUCCUCAGCGUUCCUUGUCCCCCGCCUCUCCAACCUCUGUAUCUUCUUCCGUUAUGUCCUCGAAUUCUGGCUCCCGCAGGUUUCCUCUACCAACGGCUACCACUGGCGCAUCUUCCGGCCCAGUGGGCGAUGGGACACCCACGGGUAGUGGAGUCGGGAGCAUCUCAGGAGCAGGUGGAUACUUUCAUCCGACAAAUGGUGACCUCAGUCAGUCUGAGGCCAUUAGCAACAUGUCCAGCCCCGAUUAUAAUGACGAAGAAACAAUGGACAUACUUAGUGCGCGUGAUAUUAUGAUGGUUAGUGACCCUAGUGACAGUGAUUCCACAAUAUUAGCGAGUGAACCUCCUCAGAGGAGACUCCAAAACCCCGGUUAUGGAACUAACCAAGACAGUACUGAGCAUAGGAUAGUUAUUCAAGUUAAGGGACCCGAUAAAGAAAUCACUGGUAGUAGAAACAACAGCCUUCGCCAAUCCCGCCGACGAGGGAAUACCGCGACAUCGAAUGCGUCAGAGCUCAUACCUCCUUCGCAGAAUACCCAACGGUUUCAGUCAACGGUCAGCUCUGGAAAUGUCACACCGGAGUUUGUCGGUUAUCAGGAACUGAAAGAGAGCGAGGAUGAGAAGGAGGUACCAACCGUGGGCGAUUACGAGGAGCAACAGCACAUUGUCAAAGGUUCAUCGCCACCACAGUCUGCGGAUGAAGAAAGUGACAUUGAAAGUUUGCAUAGCUUCCAUUAUAGUCCGAAAGCUGUUGAUCUCCCAUCAGCAAUAAGACUAGCAAAACGAUUGUAUUCACUUGAUGGAUUCAAAAAGUCUGACGUCUCCAGACACCUUAGUAAAAAUAAUGACUUUAGUCGAGCUGUGGCUGAGGAAUAUUUGAGGUAUUUUAAUUUUGAGCAAGACACGCUGGACGUGGCUCUCAGAAAGUUCCUUGCCCAAUUUUCGUUGACUGGUGAAACCCAAGAGAGAGAACGAGUCCUUGUACAUUUCUCAAAAAGGUUUCUCGACUGUAAUCCGGGUACAUUUAAUUCUCAAGAUGCUGUACAUACAUUGACUUGUGCUAUAAUGUUGCUCAAUACUGACCUGCAUGGUCAAAAUAUUGGUCGUAAGAUGUCAUGUUCGGAAUUUAUUGAAAAUUUAUCCGAGCUAAAUGACGGAGACAACUUCCCUAGAGAGGUGCUCAAACAACUUUACAAUGCUAUAAAGUCAUUUCCUCUGGAAUGGGCACUAGACGAUGAAGGAGACGAUGCUGCAUCCCAAGUCAUGCAACAGGGGGAUGGACCAGCAUUAUCCGGAACUGGUAACCCUUUUUUAGAUGUCCCAAACGUAACUAGUGCUACAGAAUUCAAGAAAGGCUAUGUAAUGAGAAAGUGUUGUUAUGAUGCAAAUGGAAAGAAAACACCAUUUGGGAAGCGAGGUUGGAAAAUGUACUACUGUACAUUAAGAGAACUGGUCUUAUACCUACAUAAAGACGAGCAUAGUUUUCGCAGCGAUAGCUUACAUAAUGCUAUAAGAAUUCAUCACGCACUAGCAACAAAAGCCGCUGACUAUACAAAAAAGCAGCAUGUGUUUAGACUGCAAACUGCUGAUCAAGCUGAGUACCUCUUUCAAACUAGUGAUUCUAAAGAACUGCAGUCUUGGAUCGACACGAUCAACUUUGUAUGCGCCAGUUUUUCUUGUCAACCACUCGCAGGAGCUGUUGGAUCUCAGCGUAAAUUUCAAAGGCCUCUGCUUCCAUGCAGUCACACAAAACUGUCUCCUAGAGAACAGUUGCGAGACCACGAAGAAAUUGUCAGUCGACUGGAAGCAGAGCUCGAUGAACACAGAAGACAUCCGCCAGAACGAAAUUCAAAGGCUUUAACUGUACAAAACUACAAAGAAAAAGAUGUAUAUUUACAUUACGAGUUGAAGAGGUAUAAGACCUAUGCAUAUUUGCUGAGAUCACGGUUGGCCUUUACGGAUGUGGAACCUUCACUGGUCGAAAGCAGUAUCGGUGAGGUUGACGAAGGGACUGGAAACUUGGCUAAUACUGACGUAGCACUAGUACCACCGCCUGUUCCAGAUCGACUACCUACAAAUAGGUUCUGCGGGGCGUGGUGCUGCUUAUGGGGAAGGACUCAAGUGCCCCUAAGUCGCCUUGCCUGAAGAGCAGUCAAACCUUUUUGAGGAACUCUGGUGAAAAUCUUCAUUGAAAAUUUUUCUACACAACUCUUCAGAAUACCUCUGCAGAAGACUGUAAAUUACUGAGUUUCUCUCGUAACCUCUACGUUUUUAUUCCAAAUCUUGCAAUUUCUUGGUAUUUCUGAACAUCGUUCGAUUUUACUGUCACAUUUUUAAGAGAAACUCUGAAUUUUCUUACAUUUUAUUUGGCACUUCUCUCGAAUUCUGACCUUUACAUUUUUAUGUUAUUUGACUACAGAAUCCUACAUUGCAAAUCAAAAAUAGCAAUUCUCUAAUCUACUAUUUGGAUCAUUACUCAUUACUUUCAACUUCUUUUUUAUCCGGUGUUAACUUUGUCUGUAUAAAUAUCAAUUAGUUCAAUCAGCACAUAUAAACCGAAAUAAAUAGAAUCUGUGACAUUGUAGUUAGUAACGUUAGUGUAACUUACGUGUAAAAAAAAUUGCAGAAUAAAUCAUUGUCUUGCAACUACUAGAUGAUUCUAAUUGUAAGAGAGUAAAAUGGAGAAAAUAUGUACACAUUUAUUGUAUUAUUACGGUUUACUGAAUUCAAAAACAUUCUAAGUAAGAAAAUAACGACUUUUUCUAAAAAAAAAAUGCAUCGUAACAUUAAACGUUACUAACUUCAACUUCAUUCUAAUGAUACACAACACUACUUACAUGCUUGAAACUUGUAAAAAAUGUCCUCAGAACUAAUUAUUUGAAAGAGAAAAACGAAAUGAGAAUCCAGGGAAAAUUAUAAUCAUCUCGAGAAAAUUGACGUGCGCAAAAACUAGAUACAGAGAAAACAAGUGUGCUGACAAAAUUCAAAAUACCAUGUAGAUUUGGAGAAAUUUCUGUAGAAGAAACUUGCGGCAACAAGCAAGAAAUGUUUUCACAAAACUCUAUAGUUCUAUAAGAAGGUAAAAAUUUCCGAGUGACUAUCCUACAUAACUUUACCAUGAAAGACUGCAGACUUUCAACAAUCAGAAAGCUCAGAAACAGUCUUGUGUCCGUGGACUAUGAAUCUUUUAUAAAUCCUCAAGUCACGUGCAAGUUUAAAAACUGCCCGUUAGAUGCCAAAAUAAUUACCUUUCUGUUCCUUAUCGAUAAUUGUCUACGUCAUCUGAAUAUUUGUCAUUUUAUUUACAUAUACGUUUCUUAUGAAAUUCUCAUUUUAGAAGUGUUACAGAAUACGAUGCAAAAACACUGCUAAUACUUUUCAAAAACCAGUCACGCAGCUGUGAAAAUUGACCGCCAAUAUCUGUCGUGAAAUUAAAUAACAAAAUAAAAUUAUAUACUAUACUUUUGCACAAGUAUGUAACGUGAAGGCGGCUCCUGGUAUUUGAUGUGAUAACAUUAAAAAAUCAUUCUCCGAUCUGUGAUAUAGUUGGCAGAUACAUUCCUUAAGAGGAUGUUAUAGUCAGUCUUUAUCGACAGAGGAAAGUGUCACUUUUUUUACUUAACUAUUAUCAAAGCCUACGUAGUACUGACGUGAAAAUGCUGCAGUGGCCAUAAUUCUACACGCAAUGCCGAACAAAAAUAUCGUAAAACUUUGGUUUUUCAAGAGCGAGAAUAAGGCCGGAAAAUGUAUUCCUAUAAUAAGUGGUAAUUCAAUCACAGGAAUACAUUUCUAAACACAAUUGUUGCGUAGAUAAGUAACAUUUUUACCAACCGUCGUAACAUAAAGCGUAGCGUGCGAGACUGUGCAACUGCGUUUUUCGGCAGUUUUUCUUGUCCCUUUUGCGAAUGAGGGUGUUUCUAUUGAACCUCUUAAGUCUGCUGACGACGCAUGAUGAUGGUCACUUAGCCUUUCCCCCAUCACCAUGCGACGGUUUUAUAAUUUACAUGGUCUAUAAAGACCAACUGUAGCAUCCUCUUAACUUCCGACCCCUUCUGCGUAUUCAGCGAAUAAGGUAACUUGUGAUUGUUUCACUUUUGUGUGCAAGAUUUUUGUGAUGUAGGUUCAUUUUGGCUCUACAGCAUAAUUAGAGCAACAAAGGGGUGAAAAAUAAUCACCACUUGAUCGCAAAUACGAUUACUGCUACUGUGUUGGCAUUGAACAUACAAAUUAUAUAAAGUUUUAAGAAAAUCGUAAAACAUUGCUGUAUUGAUCAAGUCAUUUAUGGAUAUUUAGGAUUUUGCAAUGAUGUAACUUGACAGGAUAAAAAAUAAAAGCAAGGUAUCAAAAAUCGUUCUAGCAUGGAACGAAAAUUCAAAAUUGAAUUGAAAACAACGUAAAAAAUACGAAAGGCAAAAAUAAUGUGCAACAUUUAAAAUCAUUUAACAAUGAAAAAGCUAAGCUUUAUUUUUCGAUUUCGCAACAGAAGAUAGCUAUUGAUAUCGACCAUUGCUUGGUGGUUUUUCCUGAGAUAUUUUGUGUAAAUUAUUGCAAAUUGAACAUUAUUUGAUAUUUAUAAUGUCUUAGAAGUAGUGGUGAUUUUAUAUAAAUUUCUAAUUUAAUGUAUGAUCGCACUGGACGAGACUCCCGUUCAUGCGAACUCCAUACAAAAAUAUUUCCUGGUUACGAAGAUUUAAUACAAUCAGUGGGGAAAUUAUUUUGAAUGCGUAAGCUCAUAUUUCAAAUUUCAUGUUUAUAUGUAUAAUGGAGUAUUACAACUACGUAAACUCAUAAUAACAUACCUAGUAUUUCAAUGGCUGAAACAAAGUAAAGACGAAGUUAUGCUUCAGCACUGUUGAUGCUUGAUGAUUAAAGAGCCACUGGAAAUGACUGGAACAAAAUUUUUAGUAUGCAUUGUACCGGCAAUAAUUCAUGUUUACGUAAAUUUCAUUGCAGAAUAUUGCAUAGUUUCAAAGAUUCCUUAUGCGUUAUUGAAUGAUCGAUAUCCAUAGGCGUGUAGUUUUCGGUUGUAUUAACUAACCAUGAAAGUGUCACUAAAAUCGUUGCGAUCGUUAGAUUUUGCCUACAUUAAGGUGGUUCUCCUGCUACGGAGCGUAUUAAGUGGGUGCCAAACACGGAUCCUAUGUAAAAUUGUUAAUAAAUAUCUAAUUUUCAUUCAAACAACACUAAUAUGAAUGAUAAAUUUGAUAUAAAUAAUAUUGUGCUGAUUAACAAUGAAUUCCAAGAAAAAAUCAUAAGGUUUGUCACGAUUUCCGCGGUAUUACGUUCCUGAGAAAUUAGAAGUGUGGCAGCGCCGCCACUUUUUUUCGUUGUCUAAUCAUUGGCCCGUUUCUGCUCUACAUAGUACAAUGCUUUUCGAUAAUCUAUUGACUGCUUAUAUUACGAAAAGUGUAUCAACAGUUUUAUUCUUAUAUCGAUACGCAUCUUCUACAGAUUGGAUUUCUACUAUUAAUUUCAAAUCUGGCGCGACGUUGAUCAGAGCCCUUAUAUCAUAGCGACCUUGUCAAGUAUCUAUAACAGACUCACGACCAGACGCGUUCUGUAUGUAUCUUUUCCUUACUUUAUUAUUCAAUAUUUCUUUAGAAACUGCGAUUAUCCAUAUUUUCUUCGUAAUCUAUAAAAUCCUGAUAUUUCCAAGUGAAAUUAUCGUGUAAGUCUUAAGUUGUUCAACGUGACAAUUAUUUAACUCUCUCACGGCAACCCUACUGAAAAUUAUUGAAUGAUAAAUCGCAUAAUGUUAUGACCAAAAUUCGGAUGUAUUUUAUGAUGCAAUUUAAGAUGUGAAUACGACUUAAUACAUAGCAAAUAACACAAUAAAUCAUGAAGUAUAGAUUGUAAAAUAAAAUACAUAACAAAUCAAAUGUCGAAUCAUGGGUUUCGCUUUAUGAUUUUUUAUGUAUUUUAUCUCAUAAUCUAUACUUUAUAGUUUAUCAUGUGAUUUGUUACGUAUUAACUGGUAUUCACAUGUUGGAUAACAAUGAUAACAAAUUAAUCAAUCUCGUGAUGAAGUAAUCUACGGUUUCUCACAGUCAGGGUGGCGACAUACCGAGUAAUUCGGAAAAACCGGGAUCUGUCAGGGAAUUACGAUGAUCCACAAAGAAAAACGUACUUUUUUUUAUAAAUUAUUUUCAAACUUCAACUCUGCUUUUGUUGAAUUAUAUAUAUUAUUCACGGUGAUAUUAAAAUUAAUGUAAUAUUAUGUUUAUACAUAUUUGUGUGAAACGAAGUAAUACUAUGUGUUCCUCCAUUGAAAUUUAUAUAUUGAAGGUGCACAAUUUCUGGAUCUUUUUGUCCUAUAAGCCGCCCAACAUUGUACAAAUUUGGUGAAAUAAGGCCAGGGAAUGCUGAAUUUUUUGACACGGAAAGUCAGGAAAGAGUCGUGGAAUUUUAUUUGAAUAAAAUUGUCACCAGCCUGUUUGUUAUCCAGGAAUGUCACACUAAAAUAUUAUUUGCAUGUUCUGUACUCUAAUAUACCUUUAGCACUGAAUUUAUUCCUGACAUAACACCACUGCCUUGCCUGUAUCGAAUGUACAAAUUGUACCUAUCAUAAUAAAAUUAGUGAAUGUAUUCACUAUCGAUGAGUUACGCACAUAGGUAAUAUCCUGUAUUUAUGGCCACAGCCAGAGAUGACGUGCAGCUGUUUUGUAACUAUUUACUUGUAUUAAACAACUGGAGGAUUAAUAUUUUAUUGAAGAUUCUAAUAUGACUAUAUGCUACAGAGCGAUACAAUGUUAAUGGUAAUUAAUUUUGAUUCAUUGAUUUCUGUUGAAAGUCUGCUUUCAGAGUUAUGCGCACUUUUUAUUCUCUAUCCGACUAACGCAAAUAAUGCCUUAGCGAUGGCUCUGUACAUCGUAUACCUAUCAUUACCCUGUUUUGCUGAACAUUUAAAAUCAUUUUAUCAAACACACUUCAAUGUUGCUAAAAAUUCCAUUUCCUAUUAUUUAUUUUCAUGUUUUGGGCAGCUCUUAAUAUAUACUCGAUACUUAACUUAAUGCAAACACAUUAUUAUACAUAUUAAUUAUAUAUAUUAAUGAUGAUCAGCUCCUGUAAUUAAAUUUGUAAAAUAUGUGGAUAACAUAAUGCAAUUCUAGGCAAAGGGAAAGUAUGAAUGAUAAUGAAAAUAAACAGCUUCUGGAUUACGUAACAUAUGAAUUUUUAGAUUUAAACCCAAGACAUAGAUGCAUCCAGCAUGAUUGAGUUUUGAAUGUUAUCUGUACUCCAUAAUGCACGAAAUGAUAAAAAGCAUGACUCACUUUGAUACAUUAAUUCAGAGUUCACAGACAUGUAUACAAUUUUACCCUUACGAUUACUUCAUAUAAAAAAACUAUUUAAUAAAACACGUACAUUUUUGGCAACCUCGGUAAUUCUGGCAAGAGAGUCCCAAAAUUGCUGUGAUUUUGGGAAACGUAUUGUGAUCAAAAUGGCGUUUAGUUUCAAAUCUGAUUAUGCACUUCUUAACAUUUUUUGCUAUCCACUUUUCUUCUUGUACGAAAUUUAUAGAUAUAUAUAUAUACAGUGGUAGAUUCACCCUAGACAAUUCGUUGGUGAAUUUCAUAAAUUAUUUUUCGGAUGAAAUACCAAUUCAGAAAAUAAUUCAAUCAAUGCAAAUUUAAAUCCGUUUAUCUCUUCAUAUUUCAAAUAUGCAAAUAGCUUUGUGUUCUCGAGCAAGAAGUUUUAGUUAUACGUUGUACUCGUAUUCAAAGCACCUUGAGUGUAACAGAUUGAAAGAGGAAUAGCUCACAGCAAAUAACAGUCUUCUGUCUGAUUGCUGUCAAUCUCAAUUACCAAAAGCACAUCUUGUCACUAAUUUUCUACAAAAUUGUUCAUCAGAAACAAUUCAGGACCGCAUCCAAUUAAACAGAUAAACGGAAGCCCCUUGCUUAAAAAAAUCCACCAUGUUGUUAUCUGGGUAUCUACAUUUAUCAAGUCCUCAUAAUUACAUGUUCUCAAUUUUGAUACCUCCUGUUGGACAAAUCUGAAUCAAUGUAACGUGUGAAUCAAAAGGACUAGAGACCAAGAGACCAAACUCGGGUGGUAGGAAUAGGCUUGUAUAUAGCAGUCGCUUGGCAGCGAUACUAAGCGCAGAAUACUUGCGCAAUGCGGUACUGCGCAAUCAAAUGAUUCAAAAUAAUUCGAGUCUGUCCCCUAACUUUGAAACAAAUGAAUGUGGAGAUGCGCAGUAUCGGAUUACGCAAGUCCGCCAAGGGCAUUCUAUGUAUCGGUCCACUUCAAAUUACGGACUUGGAUAGGAGUUCGGUCUCCUGGUCUCUAGUCUUCCUAAUGUAAAUGGAGGACCCACUGAUGACCUGAUUCUGAGCAGCUUCGAUACAAGUAACGCCAUUUCGUCACCCUGGUCAAGCUGAACUGGCCUUAUUCUACUAGCUCACUGCAGUCAUCAUCCAUUGCAUACACAAGGCUGCAUUUUCUAUUACAUUACCAUAAUAAUAUACAAACGAGACAUCACAAGUCGAACUUUUCAUUCUGAUUUCAGUUAAAUAAUAAUCAUAGCAAAAUGAUUUAGAUUUUACGGGAAUAUUAUAAACUCUAUGAUAUUAGUGAUGACAAGUGUUGUGUUCAGGCGCGGUACAGAGCAACUGUUCAGAAACGACAUCAACUCAUUCGACUCUGUACGGCGCAAAUAGCAACGGACAGUAUUUAACCGGGUGAACUCUUGAGGACGUCUGUAAGUGGUUUCACUUGUUGCGUUUCUAUGAAUUUACAAUCAAGGUGACUUUUAGAGAUCAACAAACGGGAUACACAAUCGCCUGUAGACGGUCUGUGGAUACAUCGUAUUUUGCUAUCACGAAACAUUGAAAAAUACAUAGUUUCUUUACAAACUGAAAAAUAGCCAUUGAUCAUAAAACUUUAGAUAAUGGUAACAAUUUAUAAAUACCAUUCAUUGAACAUUCUUUAGUAAAAUACGUUGGUAUUGCAUAAUUAGAUUGCGAUCGCUGUAUGAAACAAAAUUAAUAUGGUUUCAGAAUACAAAAUAUUUAUUUUCUCUAUGUAAUAUUGUCCUCUUCAGCGGAUUCAGUAUGAGGUAUUUGAAGUUAUCCUUGAGUUGAAAAUAAAAUUUUAUAAUUCCACUAUAUUGGGUAAAAAAUUUACACUUGAAUUUAAUAUUAAACACUAUCAGAAUAUAAAUACUACGGCUUAUACAAGAGAAUUAGAUAUUAGGUCAUGUUUUAUGUACAUUGGAUGAUACGUUUGUAAUCUGAUUAUAUCGGACUUGGCUCCAGAAAAUACUUAUGAAAUUUAAGUUUGUAAUUUUAAGUUGUCGAAAUAUAUUGAGUAAAAACUAGCACAUUGCAACUUGAGAAUCAUCUUAAAGGAGUAAGAUUUCCAAAAUAUAUCGGUACUUUUUUGCUUUAUUUCAAUUUACUGAAUUUCUGGCAAUUCUGAAUAUGAUGGAAGAACGAUUUUCUCUAGAAAUGCAUUCUUACAGUACUAUUAGAAACUUCAACCUCGUCAUACUUUUACGGAUAUAAAAAAAAUUAUCGUGCUCUGUCUUGCUGUAAUGGAACACGUACUGACGUUAUUACCAUGUGAAUAUUCUACUUGUGGUACCUCGUUCGUGUAAUUGUAUAUAUUUUUUCUGCAGACACAUUAUUUUACUAUCACAAAUAUUAUUACAUCGACAUUGUUCAUUUUCCCCUCCAUAAUUAUAAAAUGUAUAAAUGCCAAAGAAUUGCAUUUAAUUACUUGUACUUUGCUGACUAUCUCAUUAUUGUGUGUAUAUUUAUAUAUACUUGUUAAUUAUGACGGAUCAAUUUGUUUCGUAAUUUUUAUAUGACUUUAUAUACGUGCUUCUCUACAAAUACCUAAAUUACGUUUGUUUCCAGUACAAGAUAAUGUAAGAAUCCGAUUCAAUUCGCUUCAUUCGCACCGUAAUUUUGAUUCAUUUUUUCUUGGUGUUACGCAACAUUGGGGACAAAUAUUAUAUGCACGGUAACAUGUACAAAGUUCUACGCAAUUCCUUUAAUUACAUUAAAAGAAACUUCAGAAAGCACUACGUAUUUUUAUUAUUUACAUCAAACGCUGGAACUCGGAAGCAUGUGCAUACUAGGAACUCUGGAAGUAAAUCAAAUUUAUCCACAGCGAUUUCCGCUGGAUUCGAAAAAUUGAAAAGUCAAAAUCUUUAUUUUUAUUUAGAACGAAAUCUAAUUGACUUCCGCACAUGCGACUAUAAUUUUUUCAUGUUAUUAUAUUUUAUUCAGAUUCCGAAAAUAUUGACAAAUGUAGGCAAAAACGUUUAGGUACUUACCGCAGUUGGUACAAAUUUGAAAUUUUAUAAUAAUGUACAGUUCAUACAUUCAUAUUUUAUUUCAAACCGUUAACGCUUCUGAUUCCCUAACGACGUUGUUCUAUCCUUUUUAGUACCAUGCUAUUGUUUAACGCAACCUUCACAAGCGGUAAUGGCUUCUAACUCACCUUUACAGAAAAAUUGUGCAGAUUUGUAACAGUGGUAUGAUUAGUAGUAGUUCACUUAUAAUCUAUUCGAAGUGGUUCAUAAUAUAAUUAGUGCACUAAUUGUUAGCUGAAAAAACGCAAUUAUCAAUUAUCAAGCAUCAUCACAAAUCUUAUCAUACAUUUAUAUAUAUAUUCGUUUUCCGUGUAAUAUUACUAUAAGACUGAAUGAAAUGUCAGAGGAUGAAGAGAUAUAGUGUAAUUGUUUCCCCGAUAUGAAAAUACAUGACAUGAUUUAAGAUCUUGAUUACUUUUCGAUCAGAGAUAAAUUGAACUAUUGUAGGCAUGAAUGGAACAAAGUCCUUGAGUAGACUUGGACAGACUUACAACUGAUAUCCAUGUACAUAAAUUUUUUUUGCUGGCUAAAUUAUCAAAAAUAUAUUCGUCGAAUAUUUGAUUUAGAAAUUGUCGCUUCGGUAAAAAUUUUUGGUGUAAAUAACGUCCGACAAUUCUAGGUUCGCAAUAUCGAGAAAAACAUUGUUACUGUAUUCGCUUUGUGGGAUCGAACUGUGGCGCAAAAUCAAGAUGACAGCUGUUGACUCUGCACUUGUAACUUCAUUUAAACCCUACAUUGAGUUUCCACGGUUGGUGGAUAUCAUUUGAUAUUUGACGCAAAAUAAAAUGACAACUAGAGCAACUGAAGUAUAAUUUCACGUUGAACUAGAUUAUAGUAGUGGAUAAUUUAGUCCGCAAAACUCACUUGUACGUUUGUACAUUUAUCACGAACAAAUAGGUAGGUAUAGCUUGAUAAGUGCAUCGCUUAGUUCUAGAAACCAUUUGAAGAUUGCAUCCGUGAGUAAAGUUCAUCAAUGGAGAAUGUGGAGAUACAUAUGGAUGCGCGUCUUAUCAGAGAGUUACACGAUUUUGAAAAAUAUUUCAACCGUUGUAUAAUCUACUAAAAUACAUGCCAAUCGUUUUCCGAAACUUAUAAAAAAACAAUUGUUCACAGAAACCCACUAAAACAACAUAAGCAUUUUGAAUAUAUGCAAUUACAACUUCCACAAGCACUUUUGUUUCGGAAAUACGAUUUUUGAUUUAGGCAUCUGUUCCAUCCAUGCCUUGAAUUGUUCUAACAGUUUAUUUAGUUUAUCUGGGACAUUUCAUAUCAACUCCGCCAUUUUUCACUAACCGACGUUUAGAUUUUCAUAAAAAUUUGAUGUGCCAUUACUAAUUGCAAGCAACAUACCAAUGGCUGAACAGCCAUACGAAAUGAAAGCUUGUCAAGUCGUAGUACCAUGCUUGAGAUAUCCAGCUACUGGCACUUUUAUCUAAUGGAAAAAAUAAACAGACCCCUCUUUUACGAAUUCGUUGAAUUUUGACUACCCUGACCAAUGAUAUGAAUAUGUAUGAAAUUUUUUAUUCCAAAUUAUUGAGAGAAAUGCCACAAAUUUAAAUUCAUCACAAGUCUCGGUAAAUUUCGUGCUGACUACGCUAAUAAAUAAUCUCGACUUGAAGAAAACUACUAUGUAAAGUGAGAAAUACACUAGACCACGACUUUACAUCACUUGGUUGUUCAAACUUGUCGAGUCAAGUCGAGUCGAGUCAAGUCGAAAAAAAACCGGAUAAGUGCGAGUAUAAUUCACGCUCUGAUGGUUCCGAACAAACUUUAUUUUAUUUUUUUAAGUGAUAUAACUACAAAUGAACUAUUUUCGGAUUAUUUCGCUUACAUGUGCUGUGAGACCUUGCUUCUCUCCAAUUUUCAUGAUUCUAGGUCAACAGGAAGUACCCUAUAAGUUUUGAUUAGCGAGCUUGCACGUUUCAAAAUAUGUGACAUAAAUGGCUGUAUCUUUUGACUGCAUUGAAUUACAAGAUUGAAUUUUUUACAGCUCCAAGAGACCGUAGACCUUAGUAUUUAAUAUUAAUUUCAAUUUCAUACUUCUAUCCAUUCCUGAGAAAGAGGGUUUUGACAGACGGCCAGACAGACAACAGACAAGUGGACAAUUAAGUGAUCCUAUAAAGGUCCUGUUUUUUCCUCUUGAGGUACGAAAACCUAAACAUUGAAGUCCAACUUAUACGAAUGCGCAUUUUGAAUAGUAACCAUAGACUACAUCCUAAAUGUCUCACAAUUAGAAAAAAUAGAAAUUUCCUACACCGCCGAGGUUUUGACAGAAAUAACGUAUUAUGUAUGUAUGUACAUUGAAGCGCAAUGACUGCUACGCGUUUUUCUAGACUUGAGGGGGUGCUGUGAUUGACUUCGACAUUAUCGUAGAUAUCUUGAUUUAUCCAAGUCCGUGUGUCUCAAACGCAAAAAGGGACAUAACAGCCUCAACACUCAAUUCUGAACAAAAACACUCCGACACAUUUUCAUUUGACGCAGAAAUAAAGAAAUGGCAUGAAUUCUACAAAUUUACUAUUGCGAUUUCCUUUGAACCACUUGGAUUUUCAACGAAAAUUUUUACGAUCCUGGAUGAUGCUGGAAUCAAUUCUUUUAUGCGCUACAUCGACAUAGUUGGGCAAGAGGAAUCGAUUAGGCGCAGUCCGAAUACGUUGCAAGCAAAGGAUCAAAAGUUACAUCCAAAAUACCUAAAACCUACGCAGAAUUUUCACAGAGGUAUGGGAAAAAAAUUAAAUAAUAAUAACCACACAGGUUCAAACUCAGUUCAGUACAGUUUAUUCAACAUACCUUAAUUCUAGUGCAAGUGUUUCGGUAUAAGUGAAUAGCAAUUUAACAAGUUCACGAAUAUAAUUAAAGUAUAGAUAAAAAGAAAUACAAAAAUAUGAUUAAACAUUACACCAGAUAUCUCAUUGUGAUAUGAGGAAAUGGGUGUACAGCAUAUAUAUUGUCUUAAGCAGAAUAUUAAAAAUACUCUAUCCGAUGGUGAUUAUUGUAGUUUUCAAAUAUAGCUGAAGUGUUGGCCUGCAUACAGGUGCAAACUAGGAAAAAAAUCGAAUUGUCAAAAUUGAUCAAGAAUCGUAGUUUUUUUGUAGUUUUUUCAUAGAAACCUACGAUUCUUUAUGAAUAUCCAUGAAAAUUAACGAGAAUUCACGAAAGUAUGCAACUUCCUUAAAAACAUAAGUUUUGCCUAGAUUUUGGUACAAAAGUAUGAAUAUCUAUAAAGAUCUACAAUUGAAAUCAUGAGAUAUAGUUCCGCAUAUAUUUCGAGAAAAUAAAAUAUAAAAUCUAUGAAAAAAAUCACCGUAGUUGAUCGGAAUAGUUUCUUUCGAUUAAGUAGACCAAAACUACGUCGAUCUACGAAAUUCUGAGCCUCAAAUUCGCACUAAAUCUAGAGAUAUGAAAACCUAUGGAAAAAUUACAACCGUAAUUGAAUGGAAUAGUUUCUCUCUACGAGGCAGAACAAAACUACGUUGAUCUACGAAAAUCUAAGCUAAGAAUUCGACAUGUUUAAAACUACAACUUUUCGUAAACUCUAUGAAUUCUCAUAAGAAAGCACAAAUUUUUAUGAAGAAUUGUGACGAUCGACAAUUUUAGGAUACAUUUUAAAUCGAUAGGAUUACGAAUAUGUAUGAGAAGGUAUGAAAUACUAUUUUUGAACCACCGCUAGACGUCGCAUUUCUCGCACAAGGAAAAUUUAUUGCAGACAAGUUGAGUUCCUAGCAAAAUACAGGUCUGCGUCCAAAGACUGAUCUCAUUUUCUGACCGUAAGUAUCUGGACGGACAUGAGAAUCUGUCGUAUAAUUUUGAACUCACCUUAUCUCAAUAGGUGAGUCUUAUGAAAAAAUUAAUAACAUUCAUGUGAUUCUACUAAACCAGGAACCGUGGUGAGAAUAAUUCCAUGACGUUCUACGCAAAUUUCUACGGAUUUUCUAUGCGAAUUUCUAUGCAAGAGUAUAAGAUAUGGGCCGAUUCAUAGUUUUUGAACUUGGAUUUCGUAACAAUUCGUACUUUUUCGUAGAUUAUAAUCGUAAACAUAAUUUUAAAUAUUACAAUCAACAAAAAACUACGACAUCCUGCAAAAAACUACGAAUUGUUAUGUAAAUCCAAGUUUGAAAAUUAUGAAUCCGCCCGAAAUCUACACUUCUGUGUAGAUAUUUCCAUGAAAAUUCAUAGAAAUUUCAUUGAAAUUUUUAUGGGAAUUCAUAGAAUUACUUUUACCAAAUGCCUGAAUUAAAAUAAAUAAAAAAUCCAUUUUCUUCCUGUUUCCUCAGCUGUCGGUCUUUUGCUGUUCUAGAUGUCUUUUUCACAUUCCUGAGGGUCCAUUAAUCUAGAAAGGUUCAUACAAAUCGAUUCUGAGACGAAUGAUUUUUUGCUCAAAAAAGUAACUCCUUCGGAUUUUUGGUGAAUAUUUUAACUAUUUUGAAAAAUGCUGGAAUCAAUUCUUUGAUGCACUAUGUCAACGUAAUUUUGCGAAAAAAAUCGAUUGGUCGUAGUCUGAAUACGCUGCAAGCAACGGAUCAACAAUUACAGCCGAAAAACAAACGAUUUCCUUCGUAACUUCUCUGCAGUUGGUUCCACGCUCUUUUUGAUGUGAUAUAUUGAUGAGUGUUUAUAAUUCCGACAAAAAAAUAUCGUCCAAGUUCACGAGGUACCCGCAAAUUACCAGUCAAUAUGGGGACUCUUGUUACAAAACGUCUUGAUGAUAAUAUAGUUCACUUUCUUUAAGAAAUAAACUUCACAAUUUACCCACUAUCUCACAGGCAAAAUUCAGGAUCUUAAAUCAUUACACAAUUGUAUUCUCGGGGUAAUAUGAUUAUUAGAGGUUACCGGAAGAGUGCUGAAAUUCUGGGGAAAAUAGUAUCGACUUUGUCGGGAAUACAUAGUAUAUACUUAGACUCGAAAUUCGUAAUAAUCAACACGGGUUCUGCCACAAAUGUAUAGUGGAGCGGACAGAUAUGAGCCAUUAUAAUCUAGGCUACUUAGAUGAUAACCUUCGGAACAAUCUUGUGUUUGGAGGUCAAUGGACAGAGUCGCAAUCUAACUAGGUAAUAUAAUUAGAAAUUGAAAAAAGCAUUUGUUUUUCAUUGCUCUUGAGAUAAUGGUUGUAUGAGGUUCGUCGAGGUUUGUUACAGCAUGGACUUGAACAUUAGUAACAAUCGAGUGUUAUCUAAUUUCCAAAAAAUAUUUACAAGUAGUAUUUUUGUGGAGUGGUCUGAAUUUUCCAAUGCAAAUAAACUGUAUUUUUAAAAGAUCACAUAUGUCUAACGUAAUUUAAGAAAUUAUUUAAUUAAUGAACGUAUGAGCGCGAUUGAAGAUAUACCUAUACGGGACUUUCUUUUACAAACCGACACCUUUCUGAUCGACAUAUUCUUGAUUUAGCUGAAUUUUUUUUACGGAUUCUGUAGCGAAAAAAGAGAUACGUAUUUGAAAAUUUUUUUGUCACAUAUUUUGGAAAAGAGGGGGGAUUGAAAAUUUGAAAAUUUGGUGAUUUUCGGCUUGGAGACUCAUUUUCAAAAAUUCAUAACCCCGGUUCUAUUUGAGCUAGAAAGUUCUUUUUUUCCUUUUUAAAACUAAAAGAAUGAAUUUUAAUAAAAUAAUAGUUUCAUUAAAAAUUAUUAACAAAUCAAAUUCAUAUUCUUAUAAACAAUCAAAAUGUUUAACCCUUAGUGGCCACACCUCAGCCAGGUCAAAUAGCGGCCACACGGGGUCAUUACCCCACGCUGAAAAACCUAGUUGUACAAGACGUAUGGGUGUUUUAAAGACUUCUAACCGUGGUGUGAGUAUACAUGGUGUGCCCAUAGACUGUGCCUAGGAGUGCAGCUUCUCUCUCUAUAAAAGUUUGUCUCUCGCGCUGGACUGGGCUGAGUUCAGAAACCUUACCCGACUGAACUCUGAUAUCAUACCGUCUCUGUCUAACACAUAAGAUUGAACAAAGACACAACGAUACUCGAGGGAGCUUUCCAGCAACGACACAGAGCGACACAGAGCAACACUGUGUCGAACAUGGUGCUUUCCAACAACGACACAGAACGACACAGUCGGACACAGCUGCGGAGCAUGGUUGGACACUGUGUCGGAUUCAUUACUGCCAAUUUUUUAGCUAGAGAUUUUAUUUUCGACGCAUGGUAUUGUUUAUAUUUAUUUAUUAAAUGCAAUGAUAAUCUACACGCGUUUCACAAAUGUUUUUUUUCCUGGAGCGCUCAAUGUUCCUAGAUUUUUCGUAUAAUGCAUGAGCGGACUCUAGUGACUGAAUUAAGAACCUCAAAGCGUUCCAACAAGCACCAAGGCACAGUGUUCGACCGUGUAACACAGUGCCACACUGUGUCUCCUUGCUGGAAAGCUCCCAGUGUGGUAUAUACGACCGUGGGUUCCCCAUUUAUUAUCCAUUGUCGGUUACGGAAAGCCCUAUUGGGCUAGCAGUCUUUAUCCAUUGUCAAUCAACGCUCGAAGUUCAUGAAAUCGCGGUUAAUCUAGGGGUUCAUCAACGGGAUGAGUUUAUAACUCUGAACAAAUGACAUAAAAAGUGAUUCUUCACUUUUACCAAAGCUACAGCUGCUUUUCUUCAGUACGCGCUCAUUACAAUUACUUUGUGUUUCCUAUUAAAAAUCGAAUUAUUUCCUGUACAAUAUAAUUCAGUCUGAUGUCCAAUUUGCCAUCGCACUAUUCGAAAUUGUAUUAUAAUAUAUAAUUGGGAAUUUAUUAGAGUAAAUAAUAGAAAAUGAAUGAACAGUAAUAGUAAGUGGUAAGUUGAAUUAUAUUGAAUUAUUGAAGCCACAUUUAACUUUAAUGAAGAAAAUAUAACAAACUUGUUGAUCAUAGCAUAAAUCAUUAAUAUGUGAAUUGCAUGUGCCAACCUAUUUCAUAUAGUCCUUAAAAGCCACAUUUAACUUUAAUGAAUAAAAUAUAACAAACUUGUUGAUCAUAGCAUAAAUCAUUAAUAUGUGAAUUGCAUAUGCCAACCUAUUUCAUAUAGUCCUUAAUAUUUAGCAUAAAUAUCACAAUUCAAUUUGUAAAGCUACUAAUACAUUGCGCAAUUACCGUUUGAUGGUUACAUAUCAGAUAUCUGUUAUAUUAUAUACAUAGUGUGAAAACUGUUAUAAAAAUGUAAUAAAUAGUUAACAUGAAAUAUAACUUUGCUCAAGUAUUAUGCAGUACAUUAACUGUCAAUGUAUUGCAAUCAAAUUUCAAAGCUCAAACACUCUUUGCUCUACAUGGGGUAUUCCAUAUCAAAUCGAACCUACUUUUUUCUCUGUUGCUCUAUUGAAAUUUUCAUCCUUGUUUUCACCCUCAUCUUUUACUUACAAAUAAUCACUUGUGUCCAGUAGUACAAAGUACCAAAGCAUAGUAGAGCAGAAAUAAGCACUGAUGGUCCCCAGUAGUGAGGAGUACUAGAGUCCAGUAAUGCGGAAGUGAUCGCCACUGUUCUCCAGUGAUGCUCCACUUUAAUAGUGACAAAUAUUCUACGGCAGUAAAACACUAGUACUUCAAUUGUGCAGCGGUGCACUUAUGUACGGCGAAAGUUAUGAGACCAGUGCCUAAAUGUCAUUUUAAUACAGUCUCUGACUUCUAGUACUCUUUUUUGCGUUUUUACUCAUUUAUGUCAUUAGCUAAUGAGCUAAACAACUGAAGUCUGAUUACUCUACGAGCAGUAAUAGUAAA
rnacentral:misc_RNA from 1 species